CAGAAUUAAAAACCAACUGCCAUUAAAGCAUGAAGACGCACGAGGAAGGUGGUUGAACAUGCAAAUAGACUAUUUUUCAAUUUAUUAAGUGAGGGGACUAUUUUCUUGUAGUCAAAGAAGACUGUUGCUGACCUUUGUUGAAAUUACGUGAUGGCCAGUGGGCUGACUGAGAGGAGGAACCAGCCAGGCAACCACCCAAAAUGUACUGUUCCAUAAAGAAGUCAGUCAGAGUUGUUACCAAGAUUGACAUGGGCCAUCAUUCAAACAA